rnacentral:lncRNA from 1 species
UAUCCUUAAGUGAGUUGUUCUUCUGCGGAUAGGCUCUUGUUAUAUCACUUAAUCUAGUUGGAAUUUGACAGCACUAGCUUUCCCUUUUUCUCUAACAGUGUUUGCUCAGCAAGUUUUGUUUCUACUGACAUUUAUAGCACCCACCGGUACUUCUUUGGGGCUUGCCUAAUUCGUUUUUAGUGGAAUGGAUUCAUUUUGUUUCUGCUAAUGUUUACAUUUUACUUCGCUGAGGCUGAACCACUACUUUCAAGUAGUGGCCGAAAUUGCUACUGAGAAGAAACUCUCUAUGAAACAAUUGUGUAAACCAAGUUGUUGUGGCCAACAAUAUAUUCUUGAUUUUUAAGAACUGUUUUGGUUCCAUGGACCUUUGGCCAAGAUGGUUCUCUUUGGUGUUGAGGAAUGGGAGACUGACUGCCAAAAAUAGAUGGCAAGAACUAAUUCGUUGUUCUUGCGUUUUCCACAGAAUAUGCCCCUUUUAUAUGGGUUAUCUUGACUUGGCCCCCUAAAAUUAUCUGAUUAUGUAAAUCUGAGACUGGCAUAUAGAGAGAGCAUUAUCUCUUCUGGAAAUAAAUCCACGAAAAAGGAAACAAAAUAUCCUUUAACCAAAGCUUGUUUAUUAGCAUUUUGAUGAAUCCUGUGAUUUUCUAGCCUGUGCAUGAUGGAUAUGCAUAUCACUAUUUAUAAGGCUUUCCUUACUAUAUGUCAUAUUAUGCAUUCUGGUUUUACGGCAGCUCACAUGAUGUGUGGAAGUCUGGAAGAUCCUGUUGAUGUGUUUUCCAAGCAGGAUCACAAAAGCCGCUGUAACCACCGGUGCCCUCCGUUUUGACAUGCAUUUGAAACUCCAUACCUCAGGUCAGCUCCUUGUUUACUGUAUGAUUGAAGUGUGGUUGCUGUCUAAGUUUCAAGUUAGUAAUAUUUUCUCAAACAGGCAAACGGUACGCCUCUUUUUUUGUUCUGCUAGUUUGCACGAUACGUUCUAGGCUAGUGUUUUGUUCUACUUGAACAUUUUUUUACUGAAAUCAUAGCAUUUUCCUUCUAGAAACAAUUUAUCAUAAACAUGGAACAUUUUUCUCUUGAAUAUAUAACAUAUGUUCCCGAUUCAUUAAGAAAAUAUUCCACAUAUAUAAAAUAAAAUCUUGAGAAAAUUUCAUCGAAAGCAUAGUGAAGCUUGGUUUUUAUUUCAAAGAUCUUAUCAAAGAACACGAUGGUUCGUUCAAAUUCAAUUUGGUUGUCCGGUAUAAAAAUUAUUGAUUUUUUUUGUUUGAAUUCGUGCCAUCGCUUUUUAUUUGCACAUGCGUAGUAGCAUGAGGGACGCGGGGGUUGGUCGUUGGGUGUAUCGUGUAUUGGACCCCUAACGUAACCUAAUCUUUUUCCGCGUCAUUUAUGUCAAGAAAAUCUGGUACGAAGUAGUAUGAACGAACGAUCCAUGCGACAAACCUCGCCUUUUAGCCAACCAUGCUGUAGUUUAGUGCUGGGGCAGCUGGUUAGUUGGAUCUGGUGACAUUCAGGAUCGGAUGAGAUCCACCUUUGUACAUCACCGAUACUUCAAUUUACUCCCUACGCUUGGUAUGAAUCUUGGAGCUCUCGCUCGCAUCGAUCGGUGGCACGUUAGCGGGCUCGCCGGAAACAACGGCAAGGCGGCCGGCUAGGUGGUAGCAGCAAAGUUUCCCAAGGAGGCGCGCACGCUACUACUAGCUGGCAUGCCAGCGCGGCCGCCGCGCGCGCGUCAUCGGUGGCCGCCCGGGUGGUGGUCGACCGAUCGAGCGCGCGUGCAGCACGGCCGGGACAGCCGACAGCAGCACGGGUAGGCGGCGGCCACGGCCAGCCGGCCGGCCGGGCGGGCCGGGGCCCCUACAUGUCAAGGCAUUGGCGUAUACCCUGCAUCCGUGCAUGGACGGCAUGCGAAGUUGAUGAGCGUCGUAGUACGCGUACUUUGACGACCAGGGUGAGCAAGUAGAGCUAGGAUGCACGAGAACACAGUGUACUAAAGAUUUGACAUGCAUCAGCUAGGUUCGGCAAGCUCAAUGCUCAUGCACGGAGCAGGUCUUUCGCCCGAGCUGCUUUCAGCCAUCGAUCGGUCAGUAGUGGCGGAGACGCUGCAGAACUCCACAUGGAAAUGGAACAGUGCGUCAAUCAUCAGCGCUACCUAGCUAGAGCAUAAUGCACGGUUGACGCCCUCGGCUUUGCACGGCGCCAAGUCUGCUGGGACGUUGACAACACUUGUCAAAUCGCCAACUCAAUCAUAUCGCUACUAGGCCGCCGUGCAACGCUGGCUUCUUCGCUACUUCUGUGCUUCUGGCCCGCACUAUGCAGGGAGGUUUUGCGUGCUUUCUUUCCCUGGAUCUUAUUGGGCAGCAGCACCACUCGCAUCAGUUCAUUUUUCUAUUGGCGAUCUCGAUCGAUGCGUGAGCGUAACAGCUGACGUGCUCACGCCAAUAAUGCAUGCAGGGUUGGCCAGAGGCCUGAAUCUUUU